GAGAGACACAGAUCCAUUUAGUCUUGGAAGGAAGAGAGCAGGAGGCACAGAAGGCUAGUUCACGUGUUGCUUCUAAGCUGAUUUUUGCUGUCAUUUUAUCAUACAAUUUCAGAGGGAAAUGAUGUAUGCCCUUUUACAUCCCCUGACUUUUGUCUUUUAAGAAUAACAGUUCGUUUCUUUUUCAGUAGUGACCUUGUUCUUUUUGAACACAUGGCAGUAUUAUAGUGUUUAUAAAUCACAUAGCUUACUAAAGAAAAUUCUCAUCACCAUUGCUUAUUAGCAGCAGAGCUUUCUCUUGUGUUACUUCCCAAACACACGCACUGUAUGGUCUUUGUUCCCAACAGCUCACAGAUUAAGAGUAAAUAAGAUAAAAAAAAAAAAAAGAAGCUUUAUGGAAGGAAAGCAGAUCAACCAGCUGGGGGUUUCUAUAGCUCCAUCCUACAAUGCCACAAAUUGUUGACUAAAAUCACUCUUACUACCUGGAAAGAUGCACCAGCUCCUACCGGUCCAGCUUGGAAAGCUAGAUGAGGAUCCAGACAGAACAUCCCCAAAUGAAAGGGGAGAAAAUUGGUCUAAUAAGUAUUGCCAUCUAGAUGGAGUAAAGUUAUGAUGUCUGAUCUUAAAAUAAUGCCUCCUAUUUUAUAAUGGUCACCCACAGCAUCAGAGGCAGAUGUUGGUAGUAUGGCAGUAGAGGUUGAACCUUCCUUCCCUCCAAUAACCUGUUAAAUGCUGUUGUUGUGAUGGCAGCAGAGGGGCAGUCUGACAAAAUAGUGUCUGACAUGGACGUGUGUAUAAAGCAAAGGUGUGUCACUGAAUUCCUCCAUGCAGAAAAAAAUUGCACCCAUUGACAUUCAUUAGCACAUACUGAAUGUUUCUGGAGGCCAAACAGUGGAUGUGAGCACAGUGAGGCUGUAGGUGGGUCUCAUGAAAGCUCAGGAACAGAAUAAACACAUAUUCAUGUUUGUCAGGAGGACCUACUGAAUCAAUAUGAGGUGAAUUCCCCAUCUAAGAAAAAAUUCAAGAUGUACCCCUCAGCAGAUGUACACUGUUUUUUUUUUUUUUUUUUUUUUUUUUUUGCGGUAGGAAAGCAGUGCUCUUUCUGGAUUUCCUGGAAUACAGACAGACCAUCAACUCUGAUUGCUACAUUACAACACUGGCUAAGGUGAAGGCUGAACUUGCAGAUUCAGGCCAGAGAAGAGGACAGCCUUUCUCUUGCAACACAGUAAUGCUGGGUCCCAUACCAGUCUGAAGACCAUAGAGCACACUGUCAGUCUUGUCUGGACUGUCCUGCUACACCCACAGUUUAGACCAGAUUUGGUUUUUUUGAACUUCCAUCUUUUCAGGCUGAUUCAUGGGCAACAUUUUCCUAGUAGUGACGCUGUCAUAGCAGCUGUGAAACUGUGGCUCAUCUGCACUGCUGCAGAUUUUUACAGGCACAGUAUGCAGGCUCUUGUUCAUGGCUGGUGAAAAUGGAUGACAAAUGGUGGAGACUAUGUUGAAAAAUAGUGUUUAGUGGGUGAGGAUUUGCUCUAUCAAAUAGUGUUAUUGUGUUCUUUGUUGUAGUUUCCAUGGAAAUAGGAGGCAUUAGAUUCAGAGCAACUUGCGUACAUGCAAAAAGAUGAAACAUUUGGAGAAGCCACCUGCUGUUGUGCAGGUACAUCAGUAGUGAGGCAAAAAUUGGUGCACAGGUAGGACAAAGAAAUAGCAGACCAGGCUAGAGAGGUUUUAAAUGUUUCUUAGGUAUGUUACCUAUAAGGUAACCUUGAAACUUUUCAGUCUGAAAAAUAGCUGCUGAAAAAGAGAGCAGAACAUGGCCAGUCACAUGUGUGACACAAUCAAUCAUUUGAGAGUAGUAAAAUGAAGGUCUGCAUUUAAUAUAUAUAUAUAUAUAUAUAUAUAUAUAUAUAUUUAAAUCUCUUAAGUACUUGAAGAGAUCCUCUGAUAAAUACAGCUGCCUUGGUUUUGUUCUCUGGUUUACAGCUCUCCUGAUGCUAGUGUAAUGAGACAAGUGAGUCAUUUCUACUGCACCUAUUAUCCAUAUAGCAUGUGUUUAUGGCCACACAGUGAAGAGCUUAUACAAUCUCAGAAACUGAGCUUAUGUUAGUGCAGUGGGUUUACAGCUGAAAUGAGGGAGGAUGAGUUCACUGCCAACAGCUCUGCUUUUGGGCAUGUUUCUUCCAAUGAAAGGGCAGGUUGAUUUCACAGCCUUGUGAAGCCAAUGUUAGCAGUUCAAAUGUAUCUUAGCAGUGGAGAAAUGAUGCAGAAAAGAAUGAUGUGUUCCCCAAGAUUUCCAGUGAAUCAUUCAUCUUAGAUACACCUAUUUAAAAAAAUAAAUAUAUGUAAAGCUAAACAGUCAAUCUGCAAAUUUUUUAGGAAUAAUCAGGCUCAAAUACUUCUGUGGCAGGUACUGUGAACAGACACAGAUACUUCUGUGGACAUUUUGUGGCAGGUACUUGAAGCCAUGGGAAGAAUGAUUUGCUUCUGCACUGAUGUACUGCGAUGGGAAUCAUUCUGUGAAUCUCAUCUUUCCCUUGCUCCUCUCUCUUUAAGAUUUCUUAUUUUAUAUUUUCUUGCAAUCUUUCUUCAAUAUCUCUUCACCUCUCACAAACAGCUUUUUUCUUCGCUUUCAUCUGAAAUCCUAUUCUUUUUUCACUAUCCUGUUUUCAGCCUUUCUGAUGUUCUUCUAUUUCUUCUGAACCUCUUCCAUCUUUCCUGCAGAAGCUCCCUACUGCAAGUCCUUCACAACCUUCAUUCCCCUUCCUGCACUGUCUCAGUUCUGGCUGAAAUUGGUGUUGUUGCUAAAGCACCCGUAGGUUUUUUUGGCAACAGAAGUUACCGUAGUGUACCUGUCUCUGUUUCUAAGAUCAAAUAAUUGCAUUUCAACUUUCUGAUUGCUUGAGAUUGUAGAAUGUCUGGUGGUCUACUAAACAAUGCUCAAACUACAGGGAAAAUAAAUAGUAUUAAUGUGAGUUAAAAAAUCAUUGUUCUCAGUCGGCAAUUAGUAUUUCACUAAUAUCCGAAUAAACACAAUUUUCUGAAUUACAUAAACCCAGUUAGAAAUCAUGUUUUCUUGUAUGUAGAGGUCUGAUGGAGGGUAUAUAAAUAUACUGAAUUUGAGGAUCAGUAUGUCAAGCAAGUCUCAGUUUAUAUAGAUCUGUAAAAUGUAAGUUAAAAAUAAUUCAAUAUUUUUUCUAAGUGCUUCUCACACUGUUAUACAACUUGGUGCUACAUAAAAUAGCCAAAAAAGGGAUUAACGCAUUGGAUUCAUUUUCAUAGACAUCGUUCUAACAUUUCCUGAAUUUUAAGAUCGUGUUUCAAAAGGUGGGUUAACUAUUAGUGCAUUAAGCCCCUCAGUUGUUGCUCCUAAGAAUAUGUGAAAGGCAGCUGAAAUAGAGCAUGUUGUUUUUAUCUGGUUCCUACAGUCUGCAGUCCUUCAUCCUCAAACGUUACAGAGGCACCAUAUGCUGUUAAUCACCACUGUUGUAUUUAGUACUCAAUCAACUGAAAUUUGUUGUUUUCAGAUAUUAUAUGCCAGUACGAAACCCAUUAUGGGUGCUGCAUUUCACUGUGAGAGGAACAGUUAAUCCUGGUUUGCUGUCUAUCAUUGUUUCUGAUACAUUUAUAAAGAGAAGUCUUCCUAUGGGAUCUAUAAAUCACGCAUUACCUUUUAGCUAUGCCAUGGUUUAAUGUUAACGUGUUAAAAUAAAGGUUUGUGUAUUGUUCACAAUGCGUAUAAGCUUUUCUUGCUGUGUUAUGUACAAAAUAAUCCAUAUACCACCCAUACUGAGAGUGGCUAUUAAAUAUGCUGGCUCAGUUUACUAGUGGCUUUAAUACACUUCUGUAACGAGGGACUACUUGUAACAUCAAAGCACAGAGAGACAUUAGCUCUUUUCCCCUAUAGCCUCUGACCUGAAAGCUUUGCUUUUUAUCUCUGUAUAAAAGGAAAAUAUUCUUUGCAAAGAAGCCUAGCUUGAGUGUGGAUAUUUUCCCCAUUGUAGAAUGAGAGCCUGUGAAAGUAAUCUACAAUUUUUCAUCUUUGUUCAGAGCAUUGUUUCUUUUUGGACAUUAUGCCUCUUUGA
ensembl:lncRNA